GGCGGACAUGCAGAGACUUUCAGAGAUCCAUUGGGUNNUNACGGGAACUCUGAUCACAGGNGCUGCAUUUAUGUCGUCAGCUCGUGUCGUGAGAUGUUGGGUUAAGUCCCGUACCCGAGCGCAAUUCCUUGUCCUUAGUUAGCCAGCACGUUAUGGUGGGACACUCUAAGGAGACUGCCGGUGACAAACCGGAGGAAGUGUGGGGAUGACGUCAAGUCAUCAUGGCCCUUACGGCCUGGGCUACACACGUGCUACAAUGGUCGGUACAGAGGGUUGCCAAGCCGCGAGGUGGAGCUAAUCUCAUUUUUUACCGAUCGUAGUCCGGAUCGCAGUCUGCAACUCGACUGCGUGAAGUCGGAAUCGCUAGUAAUCGCGAAUCAGAAUGUCUGCGGUGAAUACG
rnacentral:rRNA from 1 species